rnacentral:rRNA from 1 species
UACGUAGGCAGCAAGCGUUGUUCGGAGUUACUGGGCGUAAAGGGUGUGUAGGCGGUGCUCUAAGUUCGGUGUGAAAUCUCCUGGCUCAACUGGGAGGGUGCGCCGGAAACUGGAGUGCUUGAGCGUGGGAGAGGAAAGCGGAAUUCCUGGUGUAGCGGUGAAAUUCGUAGAUAUCGAGAGGAACACCGGUGGCGAAGGCGGCCAACUGGACGAAUACUGACGCUGAGACACGAAAGCGUGGGGAGCAAACAGG